UUAACUUAAAUUUGUAUGGAGUUGGAACGUUUGCCUACGUUUGCCGCUAGGGGCGCUGUUUCAACUGCAUACAAAUUUCAGUUA
rnacentral:pre_miRNA from 1 species